CCUACGGGUGGCAGCAGUGGGGAAUAUUGGACAAUGGGCGAAAGCCUGAUCCAGCCAUGCCGCGUGUGUGAAGAAGGCCUUCGGGUUGUAAAGCACUUUCAGUGGGGAAGAAAGCCUCGGGGCUAAUACCCUCGAGGAAGGACAUCACCCACAGAAGAAGCACCGGCUAACUACGUGCCAGCAGCCGCGGUAAUACGGAGGGUGCGAGCGUUAAUCGGAAUUACUGGGCGUAAAGCGCGCGUAGGCGGUCUGAUAAGCCGGGUGUGAAAGCCCCGGGCUCAACCUGGGAACGGCAUCCGGAACUGUCAGGCUAGAGUGCAGGAGAGGAAGGUAGAAUUCCCGGUGUAGCGGUGAAAUGCGUAGAGAUCGGGAGGAAUACCAGUGGCGAAGGCGGCCUUCUGGACUGACACUGACGCUGAGGUGCGAAAGCGUGGGUAGCAAACAGGAUUAGAUACCCUAGUAGUC
rnacentral:rRNA from 1 species